UCGGCCGGAUUUAUUUUGAACCGCAUGGUUCAAAAGUGAAAGACGGUCUUCGGAGAGCUGUCACUUAUAGAUGGAUCCGCGCUGCAUUAGCUAGUUGGUAAGGUAACGGCUUACCAAGGCAACGAUGCAUAGCCGACCUGAGAGGGUGAUCGGCCACACUGGAACUGAGACACGGUCCAGACUCCUACGGGAGGCAGCAGUAGGGAAUCUUCCGCAAUGGGCGAAAGCCUGACGGAGCAACGCCGCGUGAGUGAUGAAGGUCUUCGGAUCGUAAAAUUCUCUGUUAUUAGGGAAGAACAUAUGUGUAAGUAACUGUGCACAUCUUGACGGUACCUAAUCAGAAAGCCACGGCUAACUACGUGCCAGCAGCCGCGGUAAUACGUAGGUGGCAAGCGUUAUCCGGAAUUAUUGGGCGUAAAGCGCGCGUAGGCGGUUUUUUAAGUCUGAUGUGAAAGCCCACGGCUCAACCGUGGAGGGUCAUUGGAAACUGGAAAACUUGAGUGCAGAAGAGGAAAGUGGAAUUCCAUGUGUAGCGGUGAAAUGCGCAGAGAUAUGGAGGAGAGAUUUUACACCAGUGGCGAAGGCGACUUUCUGGUCUGUAACUGACGCUGAUGUGCGAAAGCGUGGGGAUCAAACAGGAUUAGAUACCCUGGUAGUCCACGCCGUAAACGAUGAGUGCUAAGUGUUAGGGGGUUUCCUCCCCUUAGUGCUGCAGCUAACGCAUUAAGCACUCCGCCUGGGGAGUACGACCGCAAGGUUGAACUCAAAGGAAUUGACGGGGACCCGAGAGUUCACAACCGUGGGAGCAUGUGGUUUAAUUCGAACGUUAAC
rnacentral:rRNA from 1 species